rnacentral:hammerhead_ribozyme from 1 species
AUACUGCUGAGGAGUCCCAUACCAGGACGAAACGGCCGUCCAGUGC